rnacentral:rRNA from 1 species
AGCAGCCGCGGUAAUUCCAGCUCCAAUAGCGUAUAUUAAAGUUGUUGCAGUUAAAAAGCUCGUAGUUGAAUUUCGGGGUUAGUAGGUUGGUCAUGCCUCUGGUAUGUACUGGUCUCACUGAUUCCUCCUUCCUGAUGAACCGUAAUGCCAUUAAUUUGGUGUUUCGGGGAAUUUGGACUGUUACUUUGAAAAAAUUAGAGUGUUUAAAGCAAGCUAACGCUUGAAUACAUUAGCAUGGAAUAAUGAAAUAGGACGUUCGAUCCUAUUUUGUUGGUUUCUAGGAUUGACGUAAUGAUUAAUAGGGAUAGUUGGGGGCAUUAGUAUUCAAUUGUCAGAGGUGAAAUUCUUGGAUUUAUUGAAGACUAACUACUGCGAAAGCAUUUGCCAAGGAUGUUUUCAUUAAUCAAGAACGAAAGUUAGGGGAUCGAAGACGAUCAGAUACCGUCGUAGUCUUAACCAUAAACUAUGCCGACUAGGGAUCGGAUGAUGUUAAUUUUUUAAUGACUCAUUCGGCGCCUUGCG